rnacentral:rRNA from 1 species
GACGAACGCUGGCGGCGUGCUUAACACAUGCAAGUCGAACGGAAAGGCCCUGCUUUUGUGGGGUGCUCGAGUGGCGAACGGGUGAGGAACACGUGAGUAACCUGCCCUUGACUUUGGGAUAACUUCAGGAAACUGGGGCUAAUACCGGAUAGGAGCUCCUGCUGCAUGGUGGGGGUUGGAAAGUUUCGGCGGUUGGGGAUGGACUCGCGGCUUAUCAGCUUGUUGGUGGGGUAGUGGCUUACCAAGGCUUUGACGGGUAGCCGGCCUGAGAGGGUGACCGGCCACAUUGGGACUGAGAUACGGCCCAGACUCCUACGGGAGGCAGCAGUGGGGAAUAUUGCACAAUGGGCGGAAGCCUGAUGCAGCAACGCCGCGUGCGGGAUGACGGCCUUCGGGUUGUAAACCGCUUUCGCCUGUGACGAAGCGUGAGUGACGGUAAUGGGUAAAGAAGCACCGGCGAACUACGU